UACGGAGGGUGCGAGCGUUAAUCGGAAUUACUGGGCGUAAAGCGCACGCAGGCGGUUUGUUAAGCUAGAUGUGAAAGCCCCGCGCUUAACGUGGGAUGGUCAUUUAGAACUGGCAGACUAGAGUCUUGGAGAGGGGAGUGGAAUUUCUGGUGUAGCGGUGAAAUGCGUAGAGAUCAGAAGGAACAUCAAUGGCGAAGGCAGCUCUCUGGCCAAAGACUGACGCUCAUGUGCGAAAGUGUGGGUAGCGAACAGG
rnacentral:rRNA from 1 species